rnacentral:lncRNA from 1 species
GUCCAUUUUUAUGGGGCUACGAACUAGGAGAUUAGGCACUAGGUUAGUACUGACAGUCGACAUAAUUAGUUCUUCUCUCUGAUUCUAUUAGAGCAGUGUUGGAAAGUGAGCAAAAACGUACUUGAUAACAGAAAAAAAGCAAGGAGAAAACUAUAGAAUGGACCUCCUCUAUAAAGUCCAUAGGAAAUGAACAUUAUUAUUCAAUGGCUCUCACCCCUUAGAUUUUCAAACUACAUAGAAGUUAGAAGCCAACUUAAGAUUUGCAUAUAACAUAUUAUACACGAAUACAGUUGAAUAGUAAAUGGAAAACUAAUCAUUUCCUUAGUGCUUUAAAAUACGUUUAGUUGUUUUGUGAAAACUAUUUGACUUGCAGAAGUUAAGGCUGAAGUCUCCACUUUAUUUUGUGAUUUUGAGUUCACUGAAAAGGAUUUGGUAAGGUUACAAAGUGCACAUAUUUGAAGUUCUUUCUGAUGGUUCUAUUUUACCUCUUCCUAGCCUUCUAAGCUUUCCACUUGUCUCUUGUUCUUGAUUGUGAAAACAGGCAUAUAUGGGAGGGAACUGUGGAGGAUUUCCAUUAUAGAGAACACUUAUCUGAGGGAGGGACUUGCCAUGUUAUGGGUUUCUUUCCUUCAGAAGCAAUGAUUUUCCUUCAGAAGUGAUUUUUCUAAGCAAACAUGAUGAAAAGAAAAUUUAGAGCCUUGGAGCUUCAUUUCUAUUUUCUACGAUAUUUUACAAAUUGAGAACUCAUAUUUUAAGCAGUUAGGUAAAAUACAUUAAUCCAUUGACUCUCUAAGACAUAUGGGGAUCAUAAACAAAACAUUAAGUUAGAGAUGCCAUUCUGUACAUUGAUUGAUGGCACAUUAGUUAGAAUCACAGCCUCAAAGACUUUCUGUACAAAGGAUAGGAGGAGCAUCAAUAGGAACUAACCAGUACCCCCAGAGCUCCUUUGAGCUAUACCACCAAUCAAAGAAAACACAUGGUGGAACUUAUGGCUCAAGCUGCAUAUGUAGCAGAGGAUGGCCUAGUCGGUCAUCAAUGGCAGGAGAGGCCCUUGGUCCUGUGAAGGUUCUAUGCCCCAGUAUAGGGGAAUGCCAGGACCAGGAAUGGCAGUGGGUGGGUUGGGGAUCAGGGGGAGGGGGAAGUGAUAGGGGACUUUCAGAGGGGAAAGUAGGAAAGGGGAUAAUAUUUGAAAUGUAAAUAAAGAAAAUAUCUUUUUUAAAAAAUCUCUGGAAAAGAAGAGAUACAGUAAUAAUUAACAUCAGUAGGCAUUUAUGCUGAGAGAAAAAGCAAAUGUCAGAGAGAAAAGACUAAUGUAUCCUUCCUCAUUUCCAGAUACACAGGUAAGAUCCCUGUAACAAAACACAGUUUAUCAUGGGAAAUACAUACCCAUUUGUUCUAACUGCUUUUCUAUUACUGUGUUGAAAUAUUGUAACCAAAAACAGCUUUAGAAAGGAAAAGGGUUUCUUUGUUUGCACUUUUUGGUCUCAAUUUAUUUCUGAGAGAAUUCAGGACCAGGAACUAAAGGCAAGGACCGGGAGGCAUGAACAUCCCAUGGAGGGGUGCUUCUUGCUGCCUCACUCACAGGCUCUCCUUAGCUGCUUCCUUACACAGACCAAGACCACCUAUCUUUACAUGGUGCACCCUUCAGUAUCAAUUCAUAAUCCACACAUCCUCCCAAAUGCCCACAGGCCAAUCUGAUCUAAGCAGUUUCUCAGCGGGGGCUUUCUUCUCAGAUGACCCAAGUUGAAAAUUAAAGUAUGAAAUGAUUUCUGUGGUAUAAUUUUUAUAGAGAGUGAUGCCUUUAUAUAUAAAGAGUCAGAGAAAUGGAAAAUUGUGGUUUGUUUGUUUGUUUCCUAACCCAAAUGAAGUCGACACUUCUGUAGUAGCAUGAUUGGACAAAAUGGUGUAAUCUAAAAUCAUAAAUAGUAUGAAGGGUGGCCCAGAAAAGCCCUUCAUGCUGUUUCCUCAGAGGAGAAAAUACUCUUUUGUCCUGAUGCAGAAAGGCCUCUUUGGCAUGAGGGUCCUAAAUCCAAUUUACCAAGGACAGUCAGCUGUGUUUAUCACCCAUUCACUGGAGAACAAGUGAGAGAAGUUUUUCUACUCUCCAUGGCCCAUUUCUGCUGUUUUCUCUAAUGCCAACUACCAUAUUUUGGGGCAGUAUGCCCAGAACCUCAUUACUGUGUUAGUUUUAGAAGAGUUGGUUGUGUUUGAACUGUGAAUUUUUUUUUCUUUUACUUGCUUUGAAGCAAACGUGCAACUUUCAAAUUGCUGGAGGUUCAGUUCUUUCAUAAAUAUAUUCUCAUACUGGUACUUCAAAAGACAGUAUAUUUUAAAUUGCAGAAUGUGAUUGUCUAUUCAGACUAAAGAAACUGCCUUUCAUUCCUUUGUAAAAAAGAACUUUUUAUUUCUCUAGUAUCUGCACCCCUGCCUCCUCACCCCCCC